CGCACAUUGCGCCCAUUAGUAUUCUAUUGGGCAUGCCUGUUCGAGCGUCAUUUCAACCCUCAAGCCCUGCUUGGUGUUGGGAAUCUACCUACCCUGUAGCCUACCCUAUACCGGUUACCCCACAGCGGUUGUAGUUCCUCAAAUCGAACGGCGGAUCCGCGGUGUCCUCUGAGCGCAGUAACUUUUCUCGCUUUUGUCAGGCGCCGCGGCCCUUGCCGCUAAACUCUCUAUUCUUAGUGGUUGACCUCGGAUCAGGUAGGAAUACCCGCUGAACUUAU
rnacentral:misc_RNA from 1 species